UUAUUGCAGGACUCAGUAGAACGUAUAGGAGACCGAAAUGUUGACAUUAAAGUAACUCCAACUCCUUUAGCGAAGCACGGUACCGGCAGUUGGAAAGCAUGCAAGUUUAUCUUAGCGACGGAGUGCUUCGAGGAGCUAGCAUACUAUGGGAUCCAGUUCAACCUGGUAACCUUCCUCAAGACCAUCUUACACGAGAGCAAUGUGUCGGCAGCAAGAAACUACACGAAUUGGCAGGGGACUUGCUACGUGGCUCCCCUCGUCGGAGCGAUCGUGGCAGACUCCUACCUGGGAAGAUACCUGACCACACUGGCCUUCUUCGCUGUUUACCUAAUCGGAAUGGCUGCAAUGUCAAUUUCAGCAUCGUUGCGGCCGGAUGGCUCGUCGUCUUCUCCUCAGUCCGUCAUCUUCUUCCUUGGCCUGUACAUGAUGGCCAUCGGAGCCGGCGGCAUCAAGCCCUGCGUCUCCUCCUUCGGCGCCGACCAGUUCGACGACACGGACCCGACGGAGAGGCUGAAGAAGAACUCCUUCUUCAACUGGUUCUUCUUCUCCGUCUACAUCGGCAGCUUCGUCGCCGGCACCGUCGUUGUGUGGGUGCAGGACCACUACGGGUGGGUGAUAGGCCUCUGGAUCCCCACCCUGUUCAUCGCAUUGGCCAUGGCGAGUUUUUUCCUGGGAUCCAGUUCCUAUAGAGUGCAGAAGCCUCUCGGAAGCCCACUGGUAAGCGUUUGCCAGGUCAUCGUCGCGGCUGUCCGGAAGCGGAAUGUAGAUUUGCCACGUGAUGCUUCUCUUCUUUACGAGCUACCUGAGGAUGUGCCAAUGGCGGAAGGUACCAAGAAAUUGCAGCAUACACCGGUGAUCCGUUUCCUGGACAAGGCUGCAGUGAUCUCUUCGGCCGAAGAGCUUUACUCUGCUCCAUGGAGGGUUUGCACAGUCACACAAAUCGAGGAGCUUAAGAUCGUGAUCGGCAUGCUCCCGAUCUGGGCCACCGGUAUCGUGUUCUUCGCCGUCCUCGCGCAGUUCUCCUCGACGUUCCUGGUGCAAGGGAGGAUGAUGGACACGAUGGUCGGCACCUUCGCCAUCCCUCCGGCGUCCUUGGCUUGCUUCGACGCCGUGAGCGUCAUCCUCUUCGUGCCCGUCUACGACAGGGUGCUCAUCCCGACGGCGAGGAGGUUCACCGGUAACGAGCGGGGGUUCUCGGAGCUACAGCGGUUCGGCAUCGGCCUAUUCCUCUCCAUCCUGGUCAUGGCGGCCGCUGUGGUGGUGGAGACGCGGCGGUUGGCGCUCGGCCGGAUGUGCAUCCUGUGGCAGGUGCCACAGUAUCUCCUGGUCGGCGCCAGCGUCGUGUUCGCGUGCGUCGGGCAGUCGGAGUUCUUCUACAAUGAGGCUCCGGAGUCCAUGAGGAGCCUUUGCACCGCGCUAGGGCUCCUCACGGUGUCGCUCGGGAGCUACCUCAGCUCGCUCGUGGUAACCCUGGUGGCCAGCAUCACGACGAGGGGCGGUGAGCCCGGGUGGAUACCUAACAACCUUAACGUGGGCCACCUCGACCGCUUCUUCUGGCUCGUUGCUGCGCUUAGCUCGUUGAAUCUAGCGGUUUUUGUCUGUUGUGCGAAGAGAUACAAA
rnacentral:rRNA from 1 species